rnacentral:rRNA from 1 species
AGAGUUUGAUCCUGGCUCAGGAUGAACGCUAGCGAUAGGCCUAACACAUGCAAGUCGAGGGGCAGCACAUGACGUAGCAAUACAGAUGGUGGCGACCGGCGCACGGGUGAGUAACACGUAUGCAACCUACCUUCCACAGGAGAAUAACCCGUUGAAAAACGGACUAAUACUCCAUAAUACAGGGAUCCCGCAUGGGAAUAUUUGUUAAAGAUUUAUUCGGUAGAAGAUGGGCAUGCGUUCCAUUAGCUAGUUGGUUGAGGUAACGGCUCACCAAGGCAACGAUGGAUAGGGGAACUGAGAGGUUUAUCCCCCACACUGGUACUGAGACACGGACCAGACUCCUACGGGAGGCAGCAGUGAGGAAUAUUGGUCGAUGGAGGCAACUCUGAACCAGCCACGUCGCGUGAAGGAUGACGGCCCUACGGGUUGUAAACUUCUUUUAUACAGGAAUAAAGUGAGUCACGUGUGACUUUUUGCAUGUACUGUAUGAAUAAGGAUCGGCUAACUCCGUGCCAGCAGCCGCGGUAAUACGGAGGAUCCAAGCGUUAUCCGGAUUUAUUGGGUUUAAAGGGUGCGCAGGCGGAAGAUUAAGUCGGCGGUGAAAUUUUGCAGCUCAACUGUAAAAGUGCCAUCGAUACUGGUUUUCUUGAGUGUGGAUGAAGUAGGCGGAAUUUGUGGUGUAGCGGUGAAAUGCAUAGAUAUCACGAGGAACUCCGAUUGCGCAGGCAGCUUACUAGGCCAUAACUGACGCUCAGGCACGAAGGCGUGGGGAUCAAACAGGAUUAGAUACCCUGGUAGUCCACGCAGUAAACUAUGAUUACUCGCUGUUUGCGAUACACAGUAAGCGGCUUAGCGAAAGCGUUAAGUAAUCCACCUGGGGAGUACGUUCGCAAGAAUGAAACUCAAAGGAAUUGACGG